GGGCACGCGUGUGUAUUCCGAUGCCGAGUGCGCCGUCCGCAGCCAGCCGACGACUGCUCGCUAGGUCUGUUGGCC
rnacentral:sRNA from 1 species